rnacentral:rRNA from 1 species
AUUGAACGCUGGCGGCAGGCCUAACACAUGCAAGUCGAGCGGAGCGGCGGCCGGGUGCGUAAUGCUUAGGAAUCUGCCUGGUAGUGGGGGAUAAAGUCCGGAAACGGGCGAUAAUACCGCAUACUAUCAGAUGACCCUAGGUCGGAUUAGCUAGUGGGUGGGGUAAAGGCCUACCAAGGCGACGCGCAGUACCUGGUCUGAGAGGAUGAUCAGUCACAUGGGAACGGAGACACGGCCCAGACUCCUACGGGAGGAAGCAGUGGGGAAGAGUGGACAAUGGGCGAAAGCCGGAUCCAGCCAUGCCGCGUGGGUGAAGAAGGUCUGCGGAUUGUAAAGCACUUUAAGUUGGGAGGCGGUACCAACAGAAUAAGCACCGGCUAACUUCGUGCCAGCAGCCGCGGUAAUAC